GGUCCAGAGCUAGUACGCCCCAGGGAGAAGUCACCAGUCUACAGGCCAGGAAGAGAGGUCUACCAGAAAUCAGUUCUGAUGGCACCUUGAUCUUGGUCUACUUACCUCCAGAAUGCUCUGAUGAACACACACCAGUAGAGGAUGAUGAGCCAAAGAAAAGCACCACUUCAGCUUCUACUUCAGAAGAAGAGAAGAAGAAGAAGAAGAGGAAGUCUAGUCGUUCGAAAGAAAGGUCCAAGAAAAAGAGAAAGAAAAAAUCUUCUAAAAGAAAACACAAGAAGUAUUCUGAUGAUAGCGACAGUGACUCUGACUGUGACUCAGACUCCAGCGGUAAGAAGGCCAGCAUCACUCUGCAAGCCUGGCUUCAGAACUCAUUUUACUUCGUAAAACUGAUUUCAGGGGAAGGUUAAACCACAAGAACGGUAGCCAAGAGUCGUUGAGCACUCGCUGACUUUGUGCCAGGCACCGCGCUGAGUGCUCGGUGUUCGUCAGUGCUGUUUAAUCCACACGUCGUAACUCCAGACUACAUCGUAGAGCUGGGGGAUUGGGGCGCAGAGCAGCUUGCGAUACUGCACUCAGGCUCACACAGCUGAGAUUCAGACCCGAGCGGUGUGACCCCAGAUGGGUGGUGUCUAGCCGUACAAGGCAUGUGGCAGCGAACCGAGGUGGGGUCUGGCCGGGAGACGUGUGGCAGCAAAGCGAGCCGUACAGGGCUGCAUCAGCCCUGGGGAGCAGCUCUCUCGUGUCAUUCUCCCACUCAGUGGGCACCUCUGCGCCAUUUUCGAAAAGGCACACCACAAAGGACCCCCCCCUCUUCAGGCUGGCAGCUGAUUAGGGAAGACACCCCCCGUGGGGUGGUGCCUCACCGAAAGCCACCUUUUUGUGCCUUCUCCUGGCUGAUGAUUGACAGAGGGUGCCACCUCUGGGGACACAUUACAUAAAGGUGUCUUUUCCUCUGAUGUCACCUGGGUUUCCUGGCUCCUGUUGUUACUUUUCUUCCUCACUGCGGAAGAGUGAACUACCUUUUUUUUUUAGAGAGAUAGUGUGCAGGUGUGCAAGUGGGGGGAGGG